GCCUGGGGAGAGACAUGUUGUCUGUAACCUGUAACUAGCCUGGGGAGAGACAUGUUGUCUGUAACCUGUAACUAGCCUGGGGAGAGACAUGUUGUCUGUAACCUGUAACUAGCCUAGGGAGAGACAUGUUGUCUGUAACCUGUAACUAGCCUAGGGAGAGACAUGUUGUCUGUAACCUAUAACUAGCCUGGGGAGAGACAUGUUGUCUGUAACCUGUAACUAGCCUAGGGAGAGACAUGUUGUCUGUAACCUGUAACUAGCCUAGUGAGAGACAUGUUGUCUGUAACCUAUAACUAGCCUGGGAGAGACAUGUUGUCUGUAACCUAUAACUAGCCUGGGAGAGACAUGUUGUCUGUAACCUGUAACUAGCCUAGGGAGAGACAUGUUGUCUGUAACCUGUAACUAGCCUGGGGAGAGACAUGUUGUCUGUAACCUGUAACUAGCCUAGGGAGAGACAUGUUGUCUGUAACCUGUAACUAGCUUAGGGAGAGACAUGUUGUCUGUAACCUGUAACUAGCCUGGGGAGAGACAUGUUGUCUGUAACCUGUAACUAGCCUGGGGAGAGACAUGUUGUCUGUAACCUGUAACUAGCCUAGGGAGAGACAUGUUGUCUGUAACCUGUAACUAGCCUAGGGAGAGACAUGUUGUCUGUAACCUGUAACUAGCCUAGGGAGAGACAUGUUGUCUGUAACCUGUAACUAGCCUGGGGAGAGACAUGUUGUCUGUAACCUGUAUCUAGCCUAGGGAGAGACAUGUUGUCUGUAACCUGUAACUAGCCUAGGGAGAGACAUGUUGUCUGUAACCUGUAACUAGCCUAGGGAGAGACAUGUUGUCUGUAACCUGUAACUAGCCUGGGGAGAGACAUGUUGUCUGUAACCUGUAACUAGCCUAGGGAGGGACAUGUUGUCUGUAAACUGUAACUAGCCUGGGGAGAGACAUGUUGUCUGUAACCUGUAACUAGCCUAGGGAGAGACAUGUUGUCUGUAAACUGUAACUAGCCUGGGGAGAGACAUGUUGUCUGUAACCUGUAUCUAGCCUAGGGAGAGACAUGUUGUCUGUAACCUGUAACUAGCCUGGGGAGAGACAUGUUGUCUGUAACCUGUAACUAGCCUGGGGAGAGACAUGUUGUCUGUAACCUGUAACUAGCCUAGGGAGAGACAUGUUGUCUGUAACCUGUAUCUAGCCUAGGGAGAGACAUGUUGUCUGUAACCUGUAACUAGCCUGGGGAGGGACAUGUUGUCUGUAACCUGUAACUAGCCUAGGGAGAGACAUGUUGUCUGUAACCUGUAACUAGCCUAGGGAGAGACAUGUUGUCUGUAACCUGUAACUAGCCUAGGGAGAGACAUGUUGUCUGUAACCUGUAACUAGCCUAGGGAGAGACAUGUUGUCUGUAACCUGUAACUAGCCUGGGGAGAGACAUGUUGUCUGUAACCUGUAACUAGCCUAGGGAGAGACAUGUUGUCUGUAACCUGUAACUAGCCUGGGGAGAGACAUGUUGUCUGUAACCUGUAACUAGCCUGGGGAGAGACAUGUUGUCUGUAACCUGUAACUAGCCUGGGGAGAGACAUGUUGUCUGUAACCUGUAACUAGCCUAGGGAGAGACCUGGCUGGCUUGCUUUAUUUAAAUGAAUGUAAUACACAUUGUUAUAUCCUUCUGGUUAAAUCCCAAAUGGCACCCUAUUCCCUACAUAGUGCACUACUUUUGACCAGGUCCCAUAGUGCUCUGUUCAAAAGUAGUGCACUUUAUAGGGAAUAGGGUGCCAUUUGGGCCAAAUAUAGGAUAAUUUGACUGUAGCCUUCUGCGUUGAGCAGAGACAACUUUUUCCUUGUUGGCACUUUAUCUGUUGGUUAGUAGGUGUUAUUAUAUUAUUGAACCUCUGGAGCCAUACGCUAUUGGGUUAGUCAGGCUGAUCAGCAAGUCUCAAUAAGGUGUUGGGUUAGUCAGGCUGAUCAGCAAGUCUCAAUAAGGUGUUGGGUUAGUCAGACUGAUCAGCAAGUCUCAAUAAGGUGUUGGGUUAGUCAGGCUGAUCAACAAGUCUCAAUAAGGUGUUGGGUUAGUCAGGCUGAUCAGAAAGUCUCAAGCCUCAAACACCUUAGUAAUAUAUUCUGUCCAUGGACUCAUGUUACUCAUUUUCACUGGGGGGUGCGUCCCAAAUGUCAACUCAUUCUACAUUUGACCAGGGCCCAUAUGGGGGAAUAGGAAGUCAUUAAUGACCAGGGCCCAUAUGGGGGAAUAGGAAGUCAUUAAUGACCAGGGCCCAUAUGGGGGAAUAGGAAGUCAUUAAUGACCAGGGCCCAUAUGGGGGAAUAGUGUGUUCUCAGAAGGUGAAGCCAGUAGUGGCCUACUGGGCCGAGGCUUUGAUGUUGCUUUCCUGUGGCGUUACUUCUUUAUUUUAUCCUUGGUGGGGUUUAUUUUAUGUAAAUCAAGGAGACGUGCUUUUGAUUUGUCUGUUGAGUGUAAGGGGUUGUCCCAAAUGUCACCCUAUUCCCUAUGUAGUGCAUUACUAUGGGCCCUAUUCCCUAUGUAGUGCGCUACUAUGGGCCCUAUUCCCUAUGUAGUGCGCUACUAUGGGCCCUAUUCCCUAUGUAGUGCGCUACUAUGGGCCCUAUUCCCUAUGUAGUGCGCUACUAUGGGCCCUAUUCCCAAUGUAGUGCGCUACUAUGGGCCCUAUUCCCUAUGUAGUGCGCUACUAUGGGCCCUAUUCCCUAUGUAGUGCGCCACUAUGGGCCCUAUUCCCUAUGUAGUGCGCCACUAUGGGCCCUAUUCCCUAUGUAGUGCGCUACUGUGGGCCCUAUUCCCUAUGUAGUGCUCUACUAUGGGCCCUAUUCCCUAUGUAGUGCUCUACUAUGGGCCCUAUUCCCUAUGUAGUGCUCUACUAUGGGCCCUAUUCCCUAUGUAGUGCACUAUAAAUGGAAUAAGGUGCCAUUAGGGAGACAAGCCAUCUCAGAACAUACGCUGUUAAACCAUUGAGUACAUAACUGUGCUGUUACAUAUUUAUAUAAUUUGUAAGUAUGCAUAUUGUAAUUAUUUUAUAUUUGUAUACAUGCACUAGUUUAUAAGUGUGCAUUAUUUUUUCGGGACAUGAAUCAAACUGACGUGUAAAAAAGUUGAAAAAAAUAAAGUACUUUUUUUGUUAAC